GGGUGCAGCAGGCGCGAAAACUUCGCAAUGGGGGAAACCCCGACGAGGGAAUUCCAAGUGCUAGCACUUUGUGUUAGCUGUUCUUCUGUCUAAAAAACAGGAGAAGUAAGGGGCGGGUAAGACGGGUGCCAGCCGCCGCGGUAAUACCCGCGCCCCGAGUGGUGGUCGAUAUUAUUGAGCCUAAAACGUCCGUAGCCGGUCUUCUAAAUCCUUGGGUAAAUCGGGCAGCUUAACUGUCCGAAUUCCGGGGAGACUGGGAGACUUGGGACCGGGAGAGGUCAAAGGUACUUCUGGGGUAGGGGUAAAAUCCUGUAAUCCUGGAAGGACCACCGGUGGCGAAGGCGUCUGACUAGAACGGAUCCGACGGUGAGGGACGAAGCCCUGGGGCGCAAACGGGAUUAGAUACCCCGGUAGUCCAGGGUGUAAACGCUGCGGGCUUGGUGUUGGGGGUCCUUAGUGGGCGCCCAGUGCCGGAGAGAAGUUGUUAAGCCUGCUGCUUGGGGAGUAUGUCCGCAAGGAUGAAACUUAAAGGAAUUGGCGGGGGAGCAC
rnacentral:rRNA from 1 species